ACUGGCUCUGAACCCUCUAGCGC
rnacentral:piRNA from 1 species